AUGAGGGCUAACUCAUUGAAACCAUCAAGCUCUGGCAGUGUGGCGGGUGAUCGUAGUUUGUGGGAUUUGGUUUGGAAAGCAAAGGUCCCUGAAAAAGUUAAGCUAUUUGGUUGGCGCGUGGCUACACAAACCCUGGCGACAAAGUGCAACGCUAUGAAGAGAACCUUCGCAACUGAUGAUACCUGUACGAUAUGUGGGUCUGUAAUGGAGGAUGAAUACCACGCUGUGAUCUCAUGCACUCGAAGUAAAGCAAUAAGGUUUGAAAUGAGAGCACACUGGGAGCUCCCGAAGGAGGAAAUGCUGAGAUAUACCGGAGAAGAUUGGCUCCAAGUACUACUCGACCAGCUUAGUGAAAAUGUUAGAACAAAAUUUCUUCUUGUCUGCUGGGAGGCCCAGAACCUGUGGAAUAAUCUUAUCAAUGGAGAUGGAAAAAUACAGUCUCACUGGAUGAAACCAGGCAAGGGAACGACAAAAAUAAAUUCCGACGCUGCUUUCCUGAAAGAGUCAGGCAGGGCUUGGGCUGGCGCAGUUGUCCAUGAUGCUGCCAUGCCUGUGCUCAUUUCAAUAUGCAGAUAUCUGGACAUUUGUGCUUCGGUCGAGGUAGCAGAAGCAACUGCUCUACUGACUGGCUUAUAG
rnacentral:rRNA from 1 species